rnacentral:tRNA from 1 species
UCCUCGGUAGUAUAGUGGACAGUAUCUCCGCCUGUCACGCGGAAGACCGGGGUUCGAUUCCCCGACGGGGAG